AGCAGUGUGGCUCAGUGGAAAGAGCACGGGCUUGGGAGUCAGAGGUCAUGGGUUCUAAUCCUGGCUCUGCCA
rnacentral:tRNA from 1 species